CAACAAUGUAUAUAGUGUGUGCAUUGUACUGUCUGUAGCCAUGUUUAAAGCUGGUAUUAACCCUGUAAGACCCAAAUAUAGAAAAACCUUUAAAAAAAAUUAUUUUACCUUUCAGAUGUUGUUGUAGUAGGCCUUUGAUGCAGAAAUUAAAGAGUUUUUAAAAAAAUAAUGUUUAUGUAAGUUUAUAGAGAAAUGUUGUAAUAUUGCAACAUUGGGCUUAGGUGGGAGCAGAAUUUCUGUAUUUGUACUCAUGUUGUCUGAACAACAAUUCAGAACAACUACGGGUUAAUUUGCAGGGUUGAUUGCUUACUUAGCCCCAUAAAGGUAUAUUACAUUAAUAAUAAUCACACAUUAGUCAUAUUUUUAUGAAGUCAUUUAUUAAAAAAACUGUUAAACAGGAUAAAACUCUAGCUUUUUCUAGCAACUUCUUCAUUCCUUUUUUUCUUUUCAUGACUGACUUUCAUUGUUAGUGAAAGUCCCAAAAACAGUUCUUGUCCUCUGAAAAGCAAAGGCGAACAUCACACUUGCUGCAUUGCGUGUUGGUGUAUCCUUUAUUGCAGUGUCUGCAGCGUCCCUCCCUGUCUUCACUGGGAAAUGUGCAACUAGGUCCUUGCGUACAUCCAAUGGGAGGUGUGCACAUCUCUUGGAUGGUCUCUUCUGAGCAUUCAGAGGGCUUUCUGAUGUCACUAUCUGUGAUGCUGGGCUCCCUUUGCCUGAAGAUGGUCAUCCUCUCUUUGGAGUUCGAAGUGUUGUGCCUGAAACUGUCUCCUGUUCAUUGUCUCUUUGCUAGACAUCUUGAGAGCUUUGCAGUCCCGCUUGUAGAGGAGCCAGGCAUUGACCACAGCGAGGAUGAUGGUGUGCCAGAAGAUGUACAUGUACCAGCGACGGGAUUUGAUGGGGAACUUGAAAUGAGUCCAACAAAUCCAUACCUCCCAUGUACUUGUUGUAGGCACCAACAAUGUAAGGCCUCUCAACUUCAAUGUAGGUUCUGGUGGCUGGCACAGGUUCAGGUCCAGCAAAGGAUGUGUGACGGCCCUGUUGUCAUACCAUUUGAGAGCACAGAUGUUGUGAUUCCCCUCCACUCUGACGUCAUAGCUUCAUCUCCCCUUUUUCUUCAAGCUCUUUUGUCUUCUCGGUUACAGUUGGGUAGGCGCACCUGCCUGGCUGUUCCCACGUAAUGAAUUCCCCGAUCAAGGAGUUUCACUAAUAAUGGAACACAGGUGAAGUAGUUGUCUGCAUACAUUUUGUAGUUCUGACCUUCUGGAUGUGUGGAAGCAAGCUUCAUCACAACAUCACCUGACAAUCCAAGUUCAGAUUUGGCUCGUAUUCCGUGACAUUGCCUUGGUAGACGUCACACAUCAUGCCAGAGAUUCCAGUUCUCACCCACACUUUGAAUCCCCAUGGGUUUGGCUUGCCUUGCAUAUAUUGCUUGAUGCUGCUGAAUUUCCCCUUGAUAGGAUACUUUCAUACUGCCUUGACAGCUUGUUAUGCUCUCUACUUAUCAUGCUAAAAGAAAUAUGCAUCCCAAUCACCAGCCAUUUAGUCAAACAAUACUGCCUUGACAUAACAAUACUGCGUUUUGUGCUCUCUAAUUAUCAUACUAAAAGGAAAACAUGCAUACCCCCACUUAUAUCCACACCCCACAUUCAGGAACAUUUUCACCUUUCCCAGAACUGAAUUGUCUGUUGAUAUCCUCUUUGUGGACAAAGUCAUGGAAUUUUAGGUCAGUCUGGUCAAAUUAACUACAUUUNNNNNNNNNNNNNNNNNNNNNNNNNNNNNNNNNNNNNNNNNNNNNNNNNNNNNNNNNNNNNNNNNNNNNNNNNNNNNNNNNNNNNNNNNNNNNNNNNNNNUACCUGCUGUUGCUUCAUAUCUGAUGUGUCAAAUUCUGUUUCUCACACUGUGUUUUGGACUUUACCUGGCAGACGAGUGCAGACAAGUGAUAACAGAUACAGCGACAACAGGUAACUGGUGUCAUUUUUUUAAUCUCCAGGUAAGACAACAUUUUACAGCUUUCCUUUAAGUCCUUUCUGUUACAGCAGUUUCAUUUGGCCCAUGAGCUCCUGUGUAGAGCAGAAUUAGUGUGUGAAAUCACAGUACCUUCAAAGAGCAUUCAUCUUACAUAGACUACUGACAGCCUUUAACUUAACCUCAGUGAACACAAUCCAAGUACAAUAUGUUUUAAAUCAUAGUAAUAAAAUGAUGUUAAAAUAAAACUAUAUGUCAGUUUCUGAAGAAAUUGUUGGCAUGAUGUGGUUCGGAGCAUCGAACUACACACAACAAAAUUGGAUCAUUCUUAAUUCACACAGUUUAUUCUCACAGCUUUUACUCUGCAGUGUAUGUAUGGGGCUCUAAACAUAACAUAAUGGGCACAGACGCACUGACAGAGA
rnacentral:lncRNA from 15 species